UACGGAGGAUCCGAGCGUUAUCCGGAAUUAUUGGGUUUAAAGGGUGCGUAGGCGGGCUAUUAAGUCAGUGGUGAAAUCCUGCAGCUUAACUGCAGAACUGCCGUUGAUACUGAUAGUCUUGAGUUUGGUUAAGGUAGGCGGAAUGUGUAAUGUAGCGGUGAAAUGCUUAGAUAUUACACAGAACACCAAUUGCGUAGGCAGCUUACUGAGCCGACACUGACGCUGAGGCACGAAAGCGUGGGGAUCAAACAGGAUUAGA
rnacentral:rRNA from 1 species